rnacentral:rRNA from 1 species
GAGCGGAAUGUUUUGCAUUGGAUUGAGACAACGUACAAACCUUAUCGAUAAACAAUUGGAGGGCAAGUCUGGUGCCAGCAGCCGCGGUAAUUCCAGCUCCAAUAGCGUAUAUUAACGUUGUUGCAGUUAAAAAGCUCGUAGUUGAAAUGAAGGGUAGUUGUGUAAUGAAUACAUUCGUGUAUUUUGUUAUUCAACUACCCUCCUUCUAAAUUCGAUAUAUGAGUAUUAAUUUACUUGUAUAUGGUUUUAGACAUUUACUGUGAGAAAAUUAGAGUGUUCAAAGCAGGCAUUUGCUUGAAUAUAUUAGCAUGGAAUAAUCAUGUAUGAUUUUCAUGAUGUAUUUGAUUGGUUUGGUUCAUGAGAAUAAGAUUAAAAGGGACAGUUGGGGGUAUUCAUAUUCAAUAGUCAGAGGUGAAAUUCUCGGAUUUAUGGAAGAUGAACAAGUGCGAAAGCAUUUACCAAGGAUGUUUUCAUUAAUCAAGAACGAAAGUUAGGGGAUCGAAGAGGAUUAGAUACCCCGUUAAUUCUUUAACAAAA